rnacentral:rRNA from 1 species
CCUACGGGAGGCAGCAGCGGGGAAUCUUGGGCAAUGGGGGAAACCCUGACCCAGCGACGCCGUGUGGGGGAAGAAGGCCUUCGGGUUGUAAACCCCUUUUGCCGGGGAAGAAUUCCGACGGUACCCGGCGAAUAAGUCACGGCUAACUACGUGCCAGCAGCCGCGGUAAUACGUAGGUGGCAAGCGUUGUCCGGAUUUACUGGGCGUAAAGGGCACGUAGGCGGCCCGCAAAGUCCCCUGUGAAAUCUCCCGGCACAACCGGGAGGGGUCAGGGGAAACUGGCGGGCUCGAGGGGGGCAGAGGAGGGUGGAAUUCCCGGUGUAGGGGUGAUAUGCGUAGAUAUCGGGAGGAACACCAGUGGCGAGGGCGGCCCUCUGGGCCCUCCCUGACGCUGAGGUGCGAAAGCGGGGGGAGCAAACCGGAUUAGAUACCCAAGUAGU